rnacentral:lncRNA from 1 species
ACUGCUUUGGGAAGCACGGUGCAAACUCAGGUCCGAGAUGUUUAAAGCGCUGCGCUGCGCAGGAUCUGGAUGCCCUGCCCUUGUGCUGACCCGGGCACUCAGGCCUCGCUGUCCACAGAAAGUUCAACAGCACAGUCCGGGAAGGUGUACGGCAGCUCCCGCGUGGGCGGUGGAGUCUGUUGCCCUGAGGCUGGCUCCACUCUGGCGAAACUGCCCGGUCCAUUCAGACCUGGGCUCUCCUUGGCCCUCUGCUCCUUCCUGGCUCGCUCGUCAUAGGUUUCAGACAAUUUGGAAAUCAGGAAGCCCAAGACAAAAGGAGGGGACGGUCAGUCAGGCUUUGUUUAUCUUAUGGUAGGCUAAUUUGGGAAACAAAAUUUUUACUGAAAAAUAGGUUUUGGCAAAAACAUGCAAGUCAGCAUUGGCUGGAGGUGAGCAGCACCUGCCGCUGUAGGUGAACACACACUCCACCACUGCCCCUCAUUUUCCUGACAUCCUACAACUGAUGAUACAGUUGACCCCUGAAUGACACAGAGCUGAGGGGCGCUACCCCCCCAGUUGAAUUCCUAUAUAACGGCUGACUCCCCAAAACUUGACUCUGCUAACCUUCUGUUCACUGGAAGUCCUGGGAAGGACGGGCGGUGUAUUAACACAGCACAGCACACACGGUGCAGAAUGCACCAAAGCCCACAAAGUGGGAAUGCUGCGCUGCGAUGCACUGCUUGGGGGCACCUGCUCACGGGAUGAUGGGCGUCUCUGUGAGUACAGUGCACAGCGACAGAAGGUGGGCGGGUGUCGCUGCUGUGGUGCAGAAUGUGCUGUAGUCAGUCUUCUGCUGUUCUGUUUUAUCCCUGAAUGCUCAGGUUUGUUCCCAUUUCUCUUCGCUGAUGGUGCUA